GGGUGAGGUCGCUCAAAACUCCUUUAGCGUGGAAAUGAGACCAGGUGAAUUUGCUAGACAAAGUACAACACAGAAAUUAUAUAGCAAUAUCUCAAUGAGUGGGAAUGUAGUUACCCCAUUUCGAUGAUGGUGAGCGGUCUUUUAUAGAUGGAAAAAAUACAGUCAUGGGAGUAAAUCACGGCGUAAUCAUCGGAUGACCACAUAAGGAAGCCGUGGCCGAGGAUCGCGGUGUAACAGGUGGUGAAUGCCAAAUGGAGAUAGUACCACAACUGCAAGAGACUAAUGCCAAAUGGAGAUAGUAUCGCAAUUGCAGAAGACUAAUGGAGAUAGUACCCCUCCCCAAUCACCUUUUUGUUUAAACAAUGAAGUGUAACUUUUUUUUUCUUAUGCAUCAAAAUGAUUGUGCUUAGUUCUGAUUGAAUUUUUCUUGUCUCAUAGGUGGGACUACUCUCAAUAUAAUGAAGACGACGCCAACUUGAUUGUUAUCUUGAAACUGGCUGCUUACUCGUCAAUAUCGUUCUACUCUCUUAUGGUUUAUGUGACUGAUUUCGUCGGUUGUUUGCUUGUAAAAAGGACUUGUACGUUCUGUAGUUUGGCACAUUUGGUUUCAGUAGUUCUCAUGGCAGAUGGAAGUAUCAAAUGAACUAUAAAUCUCAUGGUAAGAUUUAUUUAACAUAGCUAGUUUCCUCUUAACUUCCUGCUUUAGUAUUGGGCCAUGUUUGAAAACAGAUUUGAAGGUGGGGAUUGGACUAUGAGUCAUGUGGAGCCCACUUUAACUAUGUUUUAGUACAAAAAAUUAAACUCUGCUCGUAGUCCGUAAAAAUGGAGGAUUAGGAAUCCGAUAGGGAGGAGGAGUAUUCCUAAUCCAUUGCCAUGGGAUUACCUGCGAAAUGACUAUUUUACCUCCACUAAAUAAACAUCUUUAAGUUUAUGGGGCAUAAAUGAUAUUGUGAGGUAUUAGUUCAAUCUGGUGACAUCUAUUUUUAUCGAGAGAGACCCGUUUAAGUUACAAAGAUUUACCUACAAAGUUGAAACCAUAUUAUGAAAUUUCUGCAUUCCAAUUAAUUGAUUUGUGGGCAGCUGAAGGGUUUAUACGAGCACGAUAAGAGAAGUUGAGGAUGUGGGGGUGACUACUUAAAUCAUUUGAUUGGUAGUAACCUGAUUCAAGUUGUUUCAAGGAGGUUCGAUGGAAGGGUAGAAACUUGUGGCAUCCAUGAUAUUUGCAAAGCCUUUACAUACAGGUGGACAAUUGUUGUCGUUAGAAAGUUUUCACGAGACGUCAUUUUGUUCCAUUUUUCACCUAUAAUUAUGUAACUGUAGUUACCGUACCAACUUCACAUUCCUGUUAUUCUCCAGUUGAUAAUUUAAGAUAAUAGCAACAACGAUCGAUCUUCGUCCUCAUUCUGUAUGUAAACUUUAAAUACAAAUUGUGUAAACUAUGUACCAUUAGCAUUUAAAUCUCUACCACAGGAAGUCUAAAAGAAUUGUGCAAAUGUGUGCGCUGCCCAGAAAAGCGAAAAACAAACAAAGCCUAACAGAGCAUAUGCUAGCGUGAGGAAAACAAUUUAGACAUGUACAGAGCAGUAGAAUACAUACAAUUUUCCUUCUUUUGAUGCAUAACUAUCCUCUGAAAGCACAACAUUGCAUUUUAUUUUUGUCCACCAUCAGGGCUGGCCCUGACAUUUGGGUUGCCCUAGCUCAAUCCCAAUAUAGUUGCCCUCGUACUAUUAAUGCAUUACUAAAAAGAGCCAUAUAAAAAAAAUCUUUGGGGGGCUGAUGGUUGCCCUAUUCUAAGAGUUGCUCAAAUUCAAUGGCUUGAUGGCUUACACCAGGCUGGCUCUGUCCACCAGGCUGGCUCUGUCCACCAUUGACAAGACCUAUUUUAAUGUGGAACGUUAGACAAUGAUCAAGACAACCAUUUCCAAUUAAUUUAUAAGGUUAGCACAAAUAACAACCAAAGAAACUGUUGAAAAAUAUUACUAAAACAUGCUUUACAAAGAGUUAAUAAAUAAUGUGAAAAAAUAAUUUAUAAAUCCAAAGCUAUGUGUAAAAUAAUGUGACUAAUUAUAUUAUACGAUAACAUGCAAAAAAUAUAAGGAAAGAGUUGAUCAAGUCAAGCGUUGGACGCUCUUUCUUUAAGAUAGAUUCGCUCCACACACACUCUGAAUGAGUAGUACUACAAUAUUCAGGUCCAACGGAUACAAAUUUUAGAUUCUACUCUCUUCAUGUACAGUAUGAAUGCAAUAUGAAUCAUAGAAAUCAACAAGGAAUAUCUGUCUACGCAGAAAAUUCUAUACAGAAAACUAUAACGUUUCUGAUAAAAUUAAUAUGGCAUGAUUAAAGAAUGACAGUGUUUUCUUCAUAGAAAAUAGACUGCCAAAUUGUAGAAUUUCUAUGCAAAAAAGUCAUACAAUAACACAUAAAUAAAGUAGAAGAAUUUUCAUAGAAGUUUUCUACACACAAAUACAAAUAGAGUUUAAUCGGUAAAUCAAAUUCAAUU
rnacentral:lncRNA from 1 species